AUGACCUAUGAAUUGACAGACA
rnacentral:miRNA from 9 species